UACAGAGGUCUCAAGCGUUGUUCGGAUUCAUUGGGCGUAAAGGGUGCGUAGGCGGCGCGGUAAGUCGGGUGUGAAAUCUCGGAGCUUAACUCCGAAACUGCAUUCGAUACUGCCGUGCUUGAGGACUGGAGAGGAGACUGGAAUUUACGGUGUAGCGGUGAAAUGCGUAGAUAUAGGAAGGAAUACCAGUGGCGAAGGCGGCCUCCUGGAUCGAUACUGACGCUGAGGCGCGAAAAGCGUGGGGGAGCAAACAGG
rnacentral:rRNA from 1 species